rnacentral:tRNA from 1 species
GGGCUCAUAGCUCAGGUGGUUAGAGUACUACCUUGACAUGGUAGGGGUCAGAGGUUCGAGUCCUCUUGAGCCCA